rnacentral:miRNA from 1 species
CUGGCAGCGGCCAGCUCUCCAGCCCUGGAGUCAGCUCCCGCAGUAACUACCGCAGCUCCCAGUCCACACCGGCCUGGAUGCUCCCUGGGCGGGGGCGCUGACCUGCACAUCUCGGGGG